AGCACCACAACGGGUGGAGCUUGCGGUUUAAUUGGAUUCAACGCCGAAAUCUUACCGGGACGACAGCGAUAUGAAGGCCAGGCUGAAGACUUUGCCGGAUUAGCUGAGAGGUGGUGCAUGGCCGUCGUCAGUUCGUACUGUGAAGCAUCCUGUUAAGUCAGGCAACGAGCGAGACCCACGCCCACAGUUGCCAGCGUACUCUCCGGAGUGACGGGUACACUGUGGGGACCGCCGCUGCUAAAGCGGAGGAAGGAAUGGGCAACGGUAGGUCAGUAUGCCCCGAAUAUCCCGGGCUACACGCGAGCUACAAUGGUUGGUACAAUGGGUAUCUACCCCGAAAGGGGAUGGAAAUCUCCUAAAGCCAAUCUUAGUCCGGAUUGAGGGCUGCAACUCGCCCUCAUGAAGCUGGAAUCCGUAGUAAUCGCGUUUCAACAGAACGCGGUGAAUACGUCCCUGCUCCUU
rnacentral:rRNA from 1 species